UACGGAGGGUGCAAGCGUUAAUCGGAAUUACUGGGCGUAAAGCGUGCGCAGGCGGUUCGCUAAGACAGAUGUGAAAUCCCCGGGCUUAACCUGGGAACUGCAUUUGUGACUGGCGGGCUAGAGUAUGGCAGAGGGGGGUAGAAUUCCACGUGUAGCAGUGAAAUGCGUAGAGAUGUGGAGGAAUACCGAUGGCGAAGGCGGCGCUCUGGACCGAGACUGACGCUGAGGCGCGAAAGCGUGGGGAGCAAACAGG
rnacentral:rRNA from 1 species